ensembl:rRNA 5S_rRNA 5S ribosomal RNA
GCUUACGGCCAUACCACCCUGAAAGCGCCCGAUCUCGUCUGAUCUCGGAAGCGAAACAGCGUGGGGCCUGGUCAGUACUUGGAUGGGAGACUGCCUGAGAAUACCAGGUGCUGUAAGCU